AUUAAAGUGUUGAUUGUUUGUUUUUAGAAUUCAGUCACGCGAUAACCCCGUGCUCGCUACUUCCGCGCGCAUGCGUAGAAAACUUCCGGCUCUGUUCAGUGGCUCUCACUCACUUCUCUACCUGUUGUCCUGUUGUCACUUGUCACAGAAUUUUUAUAGAAUUCGCAUUCAGUUGGUGUUUGCAGUAAAAUUUCAUGUUUACAAUGCAAUACCUUUCCCUUGGAUAUACCAUGAGUAGCUCUAGCUCCAGCCCAGAUAUAUUCAAAACCAUUUUUAUGCAAUGAUGACCCUGACACUCCAUCAGAUUCUACGACAAAAUUCAGGUCACUGUUGUAAUCAUCCAGAAACACUCCUGAAUUGCCUGGGAAUGUAUUCAUAUCACCAAGAUAGUUUAUUCCAAAUUUAACAGUCAAAUAUCACAAAAGCAAAAGCAAACUGCGAAUACAAUCUGGAACAAUCUGCUGCAAGCGGUCAGCACUUAACC